UAUAGCAGAGGACAGGUGCUGGGUCCUCUGGAAGGAGUGUGUCAAUCAAAAUAAGUUACAGCUUCAUUGCACUUUGGACACAGAUUUGUUUUGACAGGAAGAGACAAACACAGCACUCACCAAAAAACGGAUCUGCCAGACACGUACCUGCAAAAUGACAGGGAGGAAAUCAACCCCCAAGCACACACCCUGGAUCCCAAGUGCUAACUCAGGAAUGCCAUUAUCGCUGCUCUGAGCCGGGGCUGGUAGACAGCUACUUUCUCAGCUCGAGUGAGCUGGCGCUGCUCCACUGAGGCCACUGCUUCAAGUCAAGGUAUUUACUGGGCAAGAGAAACCAUUCUACAGGCUGUCUUUGUGACAGGCGUUGCCAGGACACCUCCCAGUUCUCUGCGGCCUAUGGGACGUCGAGUUGCUACAACUACAAAGAGCAUUCUCGGUUCAGCAAGAGUUGCCCCUGAUAUUACUCCAAACCCAGUCUCAUCCGCCCAGGACUGCAGGAGUAGAUAGGCAUCGCACGCAUUUCUCAGAUCAGGAACUGAGUCAGAGAAGUUAAACGCCAAAGUUUCAACAGUGGCCGCUGAUUUCUGGGAUGCCUGUUUUCAGGCGUGCACAAAGGGUCUAAAGUUGGACUCACAGAAUUACCAGCCCCUUUUGCUGAUGUUAGCCGACCUGGCUCACCCAAGGCCAGAGAGGGAGUCAGUGUCAAAGCCCACGUGCUGGAUCACCCAACCCCAUGGUGCUCAGUCCUACACUUACCCACAUAGGCCACACUGACGCUGGCCCAGAGAUAACACCAUGUCACUCGCCCCAACCCCGAGGUUACUGCUCUGAAAUCCAGCCUCUCCCAAUAUCUUUCAAACUGAACACCCAUUUGUAACACAGCAGGAUGUGAAUUAGAUCUGCUCACCUAUGUGAAUCUCCACGGCAUCAGUCCAGUGUUCCCCUUGGCCAUUGGCUGCACAGCAAAGGUACGUGCCAGAGUCACUCAGCUUCGCAGAGUUGAUCUGAAGAGAUUGACAGUAACAUCAAAUCGUUUUCACCUGGAUUACAGCUGCCAAGUACCCAUUGCCCCAAAGCCUUUCACAAAUACUUAUCAGGCCUCACAGUUAAGGCUACAUUUUAGUCACGGAUAUUUUUAGUAAAGUCACAGACAGGAAACAAAAAUUCACGGCCCGUGACCUGUCCAUGACUUUUACUAAAAAUACCAGUGAAUAAAACUUUUUUUUGGGGGGGGGGGGUCUUCCCAGGGGCCCCACGGGUGCUAGGGGAGCGCAGCCUGGCUGCUGGCGGGAAGGGAGGCCGUCCGGUGGUGCACAGUUCAAGACCCCGCGGGUGCUGGCGCUGGCACCUGCAGGCACCGCCCCCGCAGCUCCCAUUGGCCACGGAUCCUGGCCAAUGGAAGCUGUGAAGCCAGUGCUCUGGGUGGAGGCAGCAUGCAGAGCUGCCUGGCCACACCUCCACCUAGCAGCUGAGCAAGGGGGAUGUCGCCGCUUCCAGAGAGCCCCCCAGGUAGUGCCGCCCAGAGCCCGCCUCACCCCAUCCCAUGCCCAACCCCCUGCCCCCUCUCACACCCAAACUCUGCUGCUGUGGGGGGUGCCACGGCGGCCUGAGACUGCCCCAUCAGCACCAGUGUCCCUGGUGUAGGGGCUGCCUGAGCUGCCCCUGAGCCAGGUGCACCGGCCGUUGCAGAAGUCACGGAGGUCAUGGAAAGUCACGGAAUCUGUGACUCCCAUGACCUUCGUGAAAAACUCGCAGCCUUACUCAUAGUGUAUGAGUCCCAAAGAGCUUGCAGUCCAUAUAGACAAGGGCCAUAGAGAUUUGGCCACAUCCAUACAGGGAGUCUAUGGCAGAACCAGGGAGUGAAUGCAGAUCUCCUGAGUCCCGCACUAACGCCUCAAAUGAAGCCCAUCCUGCCUCGCUAAGACCCACGAUCACAGCCACAUUCUGCAGGGGGGAGCAUAGGUGGGGGAACUAGGGAUGUGGGGGGUGCUGCAGGUUUCACACGGGGGUCUGCUCCGGGCCCCACACCUGGGAUCCCGGCUGCUGGUCCCACGCCCAGGGCUCCGCUCCCAGCCUCACAUGUGGGGUCCCAGCUCCUGGCCCCAUGCCCAAGGCUUUGCUCCUGGGCCCACCCCUUGGGCCCCACUGCCGGUCCCACACCCAGGGCUCUGCUCCUGGUGCUGUGCCCAGGGCUCUGCUCCUGGCCCCGCAUGCAGGUUCCUGGCCCCAUGCCCAAGGCUCUGCUCCCAGCCUUGUGCCCAGAGUCCCAGCUGCCAGCUCCGCCCCUGCCCCCCUUGGCUCCCUUACCCUGUCUGCAUUCCCCCCUCCCACAGCCCUGGCCCUUUUCCCAGCUCGAGCUUUAGAGGCGGGGCGGGGGAGGGAGGGGUACAGACAGGGUAAGGCGGGGGGGCGCGAGGUAAAAACUUUGGGGACCACUGCUUUGCAGUUUUGCUGACUUCCAGCAUCCCCGCUAUAAAAAGUGUUCCAGGGCCACUGGUAGGGAGAUUCGUGCAUAUCUGCAAGCUUUAAUGACAGGAGGUUUCCUGCUCAGACUCGAAGGACAAUGAGGUGCAUUGACGGCCUGAUCCUAAACCUGUACUACAUGGAAUGGACAGAAUACCCAGGAGACCAACCUACUUGCCAGAGGUGCUGAACACCCACAGCUCCUGGCUGCUCAGGACCUCCCAAAAUCAGGCCCAAAGUGUCUCUUAAAUUGGCCACCCAGUAACUGAGUCACCCCAAAAUAGUGGCGACUUCUGCUUAUCUGUCGAGAGAGCCUGGUUCCAAAAGGGUUAAAGAAAGGAUAGUGUCCUGCCCUGUGAUGUGGUGUUCACCCCACACUUGCCCUGAAGGAGUUAAUGUAGGCUAAGAAGGGGCUAAUUAACCAGACAGGCCACAACUGAGGUGAAUCAAGUGGCUUAAGUAAUCCCGACUGAAUAAUGAGGGGGCCCAGCUGAGAGGAAUGAGCUGGGUGGGGUUUAUAAAGACAGGAAGCUGGCAGCUGAGAGGAAACCAGAGGCUGUAGUCACUCUCCGGAAGAAGGGAGACUGUUGUUUGGGAGCUAUAGCACCAAAGUAGCCUACACUCAUUCCUUGGGAGGAAGCGAGCCAGCAGGUUAGGAAAGAAGCAGUAAGGGCCAGAAUAGAACAGACCAUGGCUGCUGAUUAGAAGGUCCCUAAGAUGGAGUAGAAGGCAGGCCUGGGUUCCCCUGCCAGCUACUGGAGAAGUGAGACUGGCUGGGCAGUGAAUGGGCAGGCUGCCUGAGCCUGCUCAUAAGAAGAAACUUUGACACCCUGGAAGGGGAGAACAUGUGACUUGGCCAGAGGGCUAAACCACAAACACAGAGCAUCUUGCCUCUCUGAGAGCCAGGAAGAGAAGGCAGGGUGAGCGGCAAGAGGCGGAAUGGAGGUAUCAGACUGGGAAUCAGCUAAUCCCCAGAGUGACCAGGAGGAGGUGCAGCAGCAGACCCCGUGCAGCACCCCCAUGCUCAGAUUCUCCAUGUACAGGAGUGGUCUGGGGGCAAGUUCACGCCAAUGUGUCCCGUUUAAAGUGACCGUUUCUAUUGCUCCCCUGGGAGGGCUGUGCAUUGUCGCCUCGGUGUCUGGCAAAGUCCUUCAUUCAUUUCUAGGAUUCUCCUGUACUCACACACAGCCUCUGCAAAGUCACAGCCACCCAAGAGAUAGAGGGGGUACCUGGGCUGUGCCCACCCAACCCCAGAGACCCAAACAGAGCAAAGAGCUUACAGCCUGCGUUGCAGGGAAACCUGACUCAAUUCAAGAUGGUUUCUCUAAGGUCAAAGAAGCAGGGAGUAGUGACAUUGCAUGUAAUUUUGCUUGACUGCAUAAACUAAAGCCCUGGAAGCUAUGAGGGAUGUCCCACAUGGCUGGAGAAAAGCAGAGUCACCUGUGGCUCCAGUAACCAAGGUGAUGAUGACACUAGGAUAUCCAUCACUCACAGGUCUUUCAUGCCUAUUCCAAGCCAGCAGUAGAUGAAAUGCCAAGAACCACAUCUGCUUUCUGGUGGCUGACUGGGAUGGGGGCAGUUCUCUCAUGCUCAAAGCCCAGUCAUAAACACCCUCUUCCCAUCCCGGCACCAUUACACUGAGCCAAAGCUUAUGAACCGCCUAAAGACAACAUUACCAAGAGUUUCUUCUUCUUCUGAUGCUUCAUGGGGGUCCCAUUGUGGUACCACUGGUAGUGUGGGGCUGGCACCCCCAGAGCGGCACACUGCAGCUGGAGUGGCUUGCCCACCUGUACCUCUGGCGCAGUGGGAUUGAGGACUAUGACGGGUUCUCCUUGCCACAGCUCAGGGAGCAGACCUGGCAAGCAACAUUACAAUUGAAUUAGAGCACAUUUCUUUGCCACAGCAUGAUGAAAGAGGAUGAAUGGCUCCUCAAAGCAAGAGUCUGAGUUAAAACCCAGAAGUGUGAACUCUCCCCAUGUGUUUCCCUUCCCUUCUAAGGCACGCCAGGCCUCUCAAAUGCACUAGCUAUCCCAUA